rnacentral:rRNA from 1 species
GGACGAACGCUGGCGGCGUGCCUAAUACAUGCAAGUCGAGCGGAUUUACCCUUCGGGGUAAGUUAGCGGCGGACGGGUGAGUAACACGUAGGCAACCUGCCUGUAAGAUCGGGAUAACUACCGGAAACGGUAGCUAAGACCGGAUAGGUGGUUUCUUGGCAUGAAGRCAUCAAGAAACACGGGGCAACCUGUGGCUUACAGAUGGGCCUGCGGCGCAUUAGCUAGUUGCACGGGUAACGGCCCACCAAGGCGACGAUGCGUAGCCGACCUGAGAGGGUGAUCGGCCACACUGGGACUGAGACACGGCCCAGACUCCUACGGGAGGCAGCAGUAGGGAAUCUUCCGCAAUGGACGCAAGUCUGACGGAGCAACGCCGCGUGAGUGAUGAAGGUUUUCGGAUCGUAAAGCUCUGUUGCCAAGGAAGAACGCCUCGGAGAGUAACUGCUCCG